CAAUGAGGUGCUUAGGGACAGAGUACUGCUUUCUGCUCAGGACAUAUGUUUUAUGUCCUGCAGCAUUAAAGGGCACAUAUCUGCUUCCUCCGCUGAGUCGUUGAGAGACGUGAGAGGGAGUAACUUGUACUUGAAAGAUGAGGGCGCUUUACAGACCUGUGUUU
rnacentral:misc_RNA from 1 species